rnacentral:rRNA from 1 species
GACGAACGCUGGCGGCGCGCUUAACACAUGCAAGUCGAGCGAGAACCGGGGCUUCGGCCCCGGGGACAGCGGCGAACGGGUGAGUAACACGUGGGUAACCUGCCCUCGGCACCGGGAUAGCCCGGGGAAACCCGGAUUAAUACCGGAUGGCCCCUCCGGCCUUCGGGCCGGCGGGGAAAGGGAGCUUCGGCCUCCGGCCCCGCAUGGGCCCGGGGCGGAUUAGCUUGUUGGCGGGGUAACGGCCCACCAAGGCCCCGAUCCGUAGCUGGUCUGAGAGGACGAUCAGCCACACUGGGACUGAGACACGGCCCAGACUCCUACGGGAGGCAGCAGUGGGGAGUCUUGCACAAUGGGCGAAAGCCUGAUGCAGCGACGCCGCGUGCGGGAAGACGGCCCUCGGGUUGUAAACCGCUUUCAGGAGGGACGAAGCCACUCGGGUGAAUAGCCCAGAGGGUGACGGUACCUCCAGAAGAAGCCCCGGCUAACUACGUGCCAUCCGCCGCCGUAAGAC